rnacentral:rRNA from 1 species
UAGGGAUACCCGCUGAACUUAAGCAUAUCAAUAAGCGGAGGAAAAGAAACCAACAGGGAUUGCCUCAGUAACGGCGAGUGAAGCGGCAACAGCUCAAAUU